GGAAGUUUACUGAGGCGGUACUCCAGUUUGGGUUGUGUAGAUGUACUGGAGAUUAUUCUAUGUUUUAUCGAGUUUCUGGAGCUGGUCGGAUAUUCCUUGUAGUUUAUGUGGAUGAUAUUGUCAUAACUGGAGAUGAUUCUACAGGGAUUAAAGAGUUGAAAAGAGACAGGUAUGCUAGGUGCUAAACCACUGGAUACACCAAUGGAAGUGGGCUCUAAAUUGACAGCAGAAGAUGGUGAGCUGUUGGAUGAUCCGCAGAGGUAUCGAAGACUUGUUGGAAA